rnacentral:rRNA from 1 species
AGAGUUUGAUCCUGGCUCAGAUUGAACGCUGGCGGCAGGCCUAACACAUGCAAGUCGAGCGGAUGAGUGGAGCUUGCUCCAUGAUUCAGCGGCGGACGGGUGAGUAAUGCCUAGGAAUCUGCCUGGUAGUGGGGGACAACGUUUCCAAAGGAACGCUAAUACCGCAUACGUCCUACCGGAGAAAGCAGGGGACCUUCGGGCCUUGCGCUAUCCGAUGAGCCUAGGUCGGAUUAGCUAGUAGGUGAGGUAAAGGCUCACCUAGGCGACGAUCCGUAACUGGUCUGAGAGGAUGAUCAGUCACACUGGAACUGAGACACGGUCCAGACUCCUACGGGAGGCAGCAGUGGGGAAUAUUGGACAAUGGGCGAAAGCCUGAUCCAGCCAUGCCGCGUGUGUGAAGAAGGUCUUCGGAUUGUAAAGCACUUUAAGUUGGGAGGAAGGGCAGUAAGUUAAUACCUUGCUGUUUUGACGUUACCAACAGAAUAAGCACCGGCUAACUUCGUGCCAGCAGCCGCGGUAAUACGAAGGGUGCAAGCGUUAAUUGGAAUUACUGGGCGUAAAGCGCGCGUAGGUGGUUCAGCAAGUUGGAGGUGAAAUCCCCGGGCUCAACCUGGGAACUGCCUCCAAAACUACUGAGUUAGAGUACGGUAGAGGGUAGUGGAAUUUCCUGUGUAGCGGUGAAAUGUGUAGAUAUAGGAAGGAACACCAGUGGCGAAGGCGACUACCUGGACUGAUACUGACACUGAGGUGCGAAAGCGUGGGGAGCAAACCGGAUAAAAUUCCCUGGUAGUCCCCGCCGUAAACGAUGUC